rnacentral:rRNA from 1 species
AUUGAACGCUGGCGGCAUGCCUUACACAUGCAAGUCGAACGGCAGCACGGACUUCGGUCGUGGUGGCGAGUGGCGAACGGGUGAGUAAUGCAUCGGAACGUACCUUUCAGUGGGGGAUAACGUAGCGAAAGUUAACGCUAAUACCGCAUAUUCUGUGAGCAGGAAAGCAGGGGAUCGCAAGACCUUGCGCUGAUUGAGCGGCCGAUGUCAGAUUAGCUAGUUGGUGAGGUAAAGGCUCACCAAGGCGACGAUCUGUAGCGGGUCUGAGAGGAUGAUCCGCCACACUGGAACUGAGACACGGUCCAGACUCCUACGGGAGGCAGCAGUGGGGAAUUUUGGACAAUGGGGGCAACCCUGAUCCAGCCAUGCCGCGUGAGUGAAGAAGGCCUUCGGGUUGUAAAGCUCUUUCGGCCGGGAAGAAAUCGCAUGGGCUAAUACCCUGUGCGGAUGACGGUACCGGCAUAAGAAGCACCGGCUAACUACGUG